rnacentral:pre_miRNA from 1 species
UCAAGGUAAUUUUAAACCUAAACCCUAAAUUAUUCUCAUUCUGAUUCAUUUCUGCUCAUAACCCUAAUCUAGGGUUUAGGUUUAAAAUUAAUUCAGU